UGAACGACUCUCGGCAACGGAUAUCUCGGCUCUUGCAUCGAUAAAGAACGUAGCGAAAUGCGAUACUUGGUGUGAAUUGCAGAAUCCCGUGAACCAUCGAGUCUUUGAACGCAAGUUGCGCCCGAGGCCUUCUGGUCGAGGGCACGUCUGCCUGGGCGUCACGC
rnacentral:rRNA from 1 species